GACGAACGCUGGCGGCGUGCUUAACACAUGCAAGUCGAACGGAAAGGCCCUGCUUUUGUGGGGUGCUCGAGUGGCGAACGGGUGAGUAACACGUGAGUAACCUGCCCUUGACUUUGGGAUAACUUCAGGAAACUGGGGCUAAUACCGGAUAGGAGCUCCUGCUGCAUGGUGGGGGUUGGAAAGUUUCGGCGGUUGGGGAUGGACUCGCGGCUUAUCAGCUUGUUGGUGGGGUAGUGGCUUACCAAGGCUUUGACGGGUAGCCGGCCUGAGAGGGUGACCGGCCACAUUGGGACGGAGAUACGGCCCAGACUCCUACGGGCGGCAGCAGUGGGGAAUAUUGCACAAUGGGCGGAAGCCUGAUGCAGCAACGCCGCGUGCGGGAUGACGGCCUUCGGGUUGUAAACCGCUUUCGCCUGUGACGAAGCGUGAGUGACGGUAAUUGGUAAAGAAGCACCGGCUAACUACGU
rnacentral:rRNA from 1 species